rnacentral:rRNA from 1 species
AACGAACGCUGGCGGCAUGCCUAACACAUGCAAGUCGAACGAAGCCUUCGGGCUUAGUGGCGCACGGGUGCGUAACACGUGGGAAUCUGCCCUUCGGUUCGGAAUAACAGUUAGAAAUGACUGCUAAUACCGGAUGAUGACGUAAGUCCAAAGAUUUAUCGCCGAAGGAUGAGCCCGCGUAGGAUUAGGUAGUUGGUAGGGUAAUGGCCUACCAAGCCGACGAUCCUUAGCUGGUCUGAGAGGAUGAUCAGCCACACUGGGACUGAGACACGGCCCAGACUCCUACGGGAGGCAGCAGUGGGGAAUAUUGGACAAUGGGCGAAAGCCUGAUCCAGCAAUGCCGCGUGAGUGAUGAAGGCCUUAGGGUUGUAAAGCUCUUUACCAGGGAUGAUAAUGACAGUACCUGGAGAAUAAGACUCCGGCUAACUCCGUGCCAGCAGCCGCGGU